CUCUUUAUAGCGGCACACAUGGGGAGAAUCACAUGUCCCUUGCCAUAAGGUGGAUGCUAAAGCAGCUGAGAAUGCUGCUGAGUGUGCCAGCGAAUAGUCAGACUUUGCCAUUGUUCUACAGGUCUACAGGCCUGCUACUGAGGACCGCUGGAUCAAUAUUUGCCAAGUUUAAACACCAGGAUUAUCCGUCUGUCAGGCUCCCAACAGAAGCUCUCAACUGUGACAUAAAUCUUUGACUGUCCUCCACCAUUUGAGAAGGUCACACCUCCAAACAGUCUUUGUUAUAUUGUACACCUUAAAGACAGAUUAAAUAGUCGAUAUCAC